rnacentral:rRNA from 1 species
AACAGGAUUAGAUACCCUGGUAGUCCACGCCGUAAACGAUGUCGACUUGGAGGUUGUUCCCUUGAGGAGUGGCUUCCGGAGCUAACGCGUUAAGUCGACCGCCUGGGGAGUACGGCCGCAAGGUUAAAACUCAAAUGAAUUGACGGGGGCCCGCACAAGCGGUGGAGCAUGUGGUUUAAUUCGAUGCAACGCGAAGAACCUUACCUACUCUUGACAUCCACGGAAUUUGGCAGAGAUGCCUUAGUGCCUUCGGGAACCGUGAGACAGGUGCUGCAUGGCUGUCGUCAGCUCGUGUUGUGAAAUGUUGGGUUAAGUCCCGCAACGAGCGCAACCCUUAUCCUUUGUUGCCAGCGAUUCGGUCGGGAACUCAAAGGAGACUGCCGGUGAUAAACCGGAGGAAGGUGGGGAUGACGUCAAGUCAUCAUGGCCCUUACGAGUAGGGCUACACACGUGCUACAAUGGCGCAUACAAAGAGAAGCGACCUCGCGAGAGCAAGCGGACCUCACAAAGUGCGUCGUAGUCCGGAUCGGAGUCUGCAACUCGACUCCGUGAAGUCGGAAUCGCUAGUAAUCGUGGAUCAGAAUGCCACGGUGAAUACGUUCCCGGGCCUUGUACACACCGCCCGUCACACUAUGGGAGUGGGUUGCAAAAGAAGUAGGUAGCUUAACCUUCGGGAGGGCGCUUACCACUUUGUGAUUCAUGACUGGGGUGAAGUCGUAACAAGGUAACC